AGGAAUUCAAGGUCUCCCAAUCCUGGUCCUGCCACCUCUCUCAUCUUCUCAAGCUCUUCAAGAUUUGCCUAGCUCUGGUCAUGCAAGUCUUUGUUCUGCUGCAACAGGGCAUUGGCCCAUGGGAUGAUAUCACCUGGAUUCAGCAUGGGUCUUCCAUCUUCUAGAACACCCUCAAAAAUGUAUCCAAAGUUUCAUUUCUAUGGUAAAUCUAAAGUCACUUAAGUUGACAACAAAGAUUAACCGUCAUAGAUACCAACAGGGUAAAAUGAACUAUAAAAUUGAAAAACUUGACACCUUAGUAAGCAAUUCAAGUGGUCAGAAAUUCAUCAGAGUUCCACUGAGGAGUGCCAGCACUUACCUUGUGCUGUAGAAAUAUUUAGAAAGUUAUAAAACUGUGAGAUCACAACAUUGCCUUCCUUCCCUCUAAGGAUUUGCCCAGCAGAGGAGUACAUUUUCUAAUCCACUGACCUGUUGCUGAGCUCAAGUGCUAAAUACUUUUUAAGAGGAAAAACAGCAACAAUAAACACAAAGAUCUAACAUCAAACACUUUCCCCAAGAAGCAUGCACCCGGGAGGCAUUUUGCUUUGUCACAAUACAGAUUUCACAGCCUCUCUGAUGGGAAAGCAGACUCACCCCAUAGCCUCAGAGAAUAACAGGAUGGUGAUUUGUUAUGCUGCUCUACCUCCUCCCCUGGAAUUAUUGCCUCACUGUAAUGCUAUAGUGGUCUGCCUAGAGCUUCCUUCAGGAGGGCAAUAGCAUCCAUUGCUGCUGUUGUGUCAGGAUGGCUCCACUUUCCUCCCAACCUUUGCCUGUACAGCAAAGUCUAGAAAACAGCAAGCCUGGUGGGACUAAGAAAGCAACUGGAGGAUGAUACCUGCAAGUUUCUACAUAGCCAAAGUCAGAGUUGAAUUGUCAGUCCCAUACUCCCCGUCAACCUUGCUUUGUUUUUUAUUGUAAGAAACGGCAAUGGUGCAUCCAUGGUAGCUAUGUAAGUCCCAACUACUGACCUCUAUUUACAUGAAUUGAGCCACAGAACUUUGAUACAAAAUGUUGUCUGCAAUGAUUGAUAUUCUACGACCUUUCUUCUAGUUCUCUGCAGAGGCUCCUUCUAAUGUGUGGAGGAAAAUAAACUGCAUACAACAGGCAGCUCUGCCCUCCAUUGUUCUAUUUAUAAGAUACAUGUUCAUGCAGGAUCUUGAACUUUUUUUAUGUCAACUUGAUAUAUUUGCACAUCUUUCAUUAUUACCAGAGAUCUGAUGAAAUAUUUCAAGGUCUUCGUGUAAGGAAUUGUCCUAGAACACAAAAUAUUUUGGCCCCUAUGUUUGGAGCUGUGAUGUCAAGAUGGUGAUAAAUUCAGAUUCCAUUAAACCUGAGGAGAGUAACCCAGCAGGUGGCUGUACUAAUGGAAAAUCCUGGCUUUGGAAUAAUGGGAAUUACAACCGACAGCUCUUCUACACCACAAAAAAGAUGAUGUAUCCUUAUUGACAGUGUCGCAUUUGAGUCCAGAAGGCUGAUCUGAUAGUUCUGUCCUGGCACAACGGAAGCUAAAAGCCCCCUGGGUGCUUUCUUGGCCACACCACUGCAAUUUUUGUCAUCUGAACUUUCUAUUACAGUUCAUUUUACAAAUCACAUAUAAGUUGAAGAGCAAGAGUGGUGGGGGGUGAGGGGAAGAAGGAGACUUUAUUUUGCCUACAGGCAUACUUUUAUUCUUUUUUUCUUGCUUUAAAGGACAAAUAAAGGUUGACACACCACAGUAUUUCAAGCCAACUCAGUAUUUUCAAUGCUGACAUACCAGCCUAAGUUAUAUGAGUGAUUCUAUACAAGCUCUUCUUAAGAUGUUUCUUCUGCUUGGAAGAUGUGUGGAUUGCCUAGGAGGUGUGAUGCUUGAUAGUCCUGCAUUGAUUUCCAUUAUUUCUCCUUUCUUUUAGCUCCAUCUUUGUCUUUAAAUUAAAAGACCUUAUUUGAUUAAGAGAAAGCCUUGGUCACAUUUAUCUGAGGAAGCAUCUGGAUGUUCAAAUAUUUAGAACUUCAUAUUUUCACCGAGCCUCCAACUCUCUGAAAAUAUAACAAGGAGUUAUCAAAAUGUUUUAUUGUAUUCACCAUCU